GACAGAGGGUGCAAACGUUGCUCGGAAUCACUGGGCGUAAAGGGCGUGUAGGCGGGAAGGAAAGUCAGAUGUGAAAUCCCUGGGCUCAACCCAGGAACUGCAUUUGAAACCCCCUUUCUUGAGUGUCGGAGAGGAAAGUGGAAUUCCUGGUGUAGAGGUGAAAUUCGUAGAUAUCAGGAGGAACACCGGUGGCGAAGGCGGCUUUCUGGACGACAACUGACGCUGAGACGCGAAAGCGUGGGGAGCAAACAGG
rnacentral:rRNA from 1 species